UACGUAGGGUGCAAGCGUUGUCCGGAAUUAUUGGGCGUAAAGAGCUCGUAGGCGGUCUGUCACGUCGGACGUGAAAAUCCAGGGCUCAACCCUGGACCUGCGUUCGAUACGGGCAGACUAGAGUUCGGUAGGGGAGACUGGAAUUCCUGGUGUAGCGGUGAAAUGCGCAGAUAUCAGGAGGAACACCGGUGGCGAAGGCGGCAUCCUGGACCGGUAUUGACGCUGAGGCGCGAAAGCCAGGGGAGCAAACGGG
rnacentral:rRNA from 1 species